rnacentral:rRNA from 1 species
ACGGGAGGCAGCAGUGAGGAAUAUUGGUCAAUGGACGCAAGUCUGAACCAGCCAUGCCGCGUGAAGGAUUAAGGCCCUAUGGGUCGUAAACUUCUUUUGUAUGGGAGCAAUAAGUCUUACGUGUAGGAUGAUGAGAGUACCAUACGAAUAAGCAUCGGCUAACUCCGUGCCCGCAGCCGCGGUAAUACGGAGGAUGCGAGCGUUAUCCGGAUUUAUUGGGUUUAAAGGGUGCGUAGGCGGCUUCGUAAGUCAGCGGUGAAAUGUCGGGGCUCAACUCCGGAACUGCCGUUGAUACUGCAGGGCUUGAAUGCGGAUGCCGUGGGAGGAAUGUGUGGUGUAGCGGUGAAAUGCAUAGAUAUCACACAGAACACCGAUUGCGAAGGCAUCUCACGAAUCCGCGAUUGACGCUGAGGCACGAAAGUGUGGGGAUCAAACAGGAUUAGAUACCCUGGUA